GACGGGGGAUGCGAGCGUUAUCCGGAAUGAUUGGGCGUAAAGGGUCCGCAGGUGGCCCGGUCAGUCCGCUGUCAAAGCCUGGGGCUCAACCCUGGAGAGGCGGUGGAAACUACCAAGCUAGAGUACGGUAGGGGCAGAGGGAAUUUCCGGUGGAGCGGUGAAACGCGUAGAGAUCGGAAAGAACACCAACGGCGAAAGCACUCUGCUGGGCCGACACUGACACUGAGAGACGAAAGCUAGGGGAGCGAAUGGG
rnacentral:rRNA from 1 species